ACAUAUCAAUAAGCGGAGGAAAAGAAACUAACAAGGAUUCCCCUAGUAACUGCGAGUGAAGCGGGAAAAGCUCAAAUUUAAAAUCUGGCGGUCUUUGGCCGUCCGAGUUGUAAUCUAGAGAAGUAAUGCCCGUGCUGGACCGUGUAUAAGUCUCCUGGGAUGGGGCGUCAUAGAGGGUGAGAAUCCCGUCUUUGACACGGACUACCAGUGCAUUGUGGUAUGCUCUCAAAGAGUCGAGUUGUUUGGGAAUGCAGCUCAAAAUGGGUGGUAAAUUCCAUCUAAAGCUAAAUAUUGGCGAGAGACCGAUAGCGAACAAGUACCGUGAGGGAAAGAUGAAAAGAACUUUGGAAAGAGAGUUAAACAGUACGUGAAAUUGCUGAAAGGGAAACGCUUGAAGUCAGUCGCGUUGGCCAGGGAUCAGCCUUGCUUUUGCAUGGUGUACUUUCUGGUUGACGGGUCAGCAUCAAUUUUGACCGCUGGAAAAGGGCCUGGGGAAUGUGGCAGCUUCGGCUGUGUUAUAGCCCCUGGUCACAUACGGCGGUUGGGAUUGAGGAACUCAGCACGCCGCAAGGCCGGGUUUCGACCACGUUCGUGCUUAGGAUGCUGGCAUAAUGGCUUUAAGCGACCCGUCUUGAAACACGGACCAAGGAGUCUAACAUGCCUGCGAGUAUUUGGGUGAAAAACCCGAGUGCGCAAUGAAAGUGAAAGUUGAGAUCCCUGUCGUGGGGAGCAUCGACGCCCGGACCAGAACUUUUGGGACGGAUCCGCGGUGGAGCAUGUAUGUUGGGACCCGAAAGAUGGUGAACUAUGCCUGAAUAGGGUGAAGCCAGAGGAAACUCUGGUGGAGGCUCGUAGCGAUUCUGACGUGCAAAUCGAUCGUCAAAUUUGGGUAUAGGGGCGAAAGACUAAUCGAACCAUCUAGUAGCUGGUUCCUGC
rnacentral:rRNA from 1 species